GUCAUGACAGCCAAUGAAGAAGAAUGUCAUGGCGGAUAGGGCUUGGCCGUGAUGAAUAUAUAUCGGAAAAUCCGCCCAAUUUCGCUGCCUCGCCAAAUCAAAGUUUUUGAAGUGGCUUUAGCAGUUAGUUAGCCAUGUCUAAGCAGCGUUGUACAUACUGCCAGACGGACGUCAAGGGUGUAGGAUUGAAAUGUGUUGACUGUGAAAAUUUUGACCUUUGUUUACAGUGUGCAUCCUGUGGAGUUGAGAUAGGAAAACAUAAAAAAAAUCAUGAUUAUCAAAUUGUGGACAAUGGUAGAUUCUCUGUGUUUGAUACUAACUCGUCCUGGACGGCUGCGGAAGAGAUGCUCCUUCUUGAUGCCAUUGAACAAUAUGGCUUUGGAAAUUGGGAAGAUGCAGCAGCUCAUGUCGGGACUAAAACUGCAGAUGAAACAAGAGAUCAUUACUAUGCAUUUUUCAUACAUGGAAACAUAGGAAAGGUUACCUUGCCUACGGAGUCUGCAGUAGAUGUAACAGACCACACUUGUCCGAAUGGAGGUCCCCUAUCACCCAGUCUAGCUACAAAGGUGACAGCUGCUGAUGUGUCACCAGAGGACCAGAGACAGCUGGGGUUCAUGCCACUCAGGGAGGAUUUUGAAAGAGAGUAUGACAAUGAAGCGGAGACUCUAGUCAGUGUACUGAUGAUUACACAUGAAGAUGAUGACCUAGACAUAGCCGUGAAGAUGGCACAGGUGGACAUGUAUGUGCGGCGUUUGAGAGAGCGUGUACGGAGGAAGCGAAUAGUCGGUGAUUUCGGGCUAGUGCAACAGUUCUUCACAGCAAGUAAACAGAAGUCACCAGUUAAACGAAAGGAAUCCAAAGAAGAAAGAGAAUUCCAUGAUAAAAUGAGACCAUUUGCUCAGUUCCAGUCAGCCAUUGAGCGUGAGCAAUUUUUUGAUGACUUGCAGCAUGAGAAAAAACUAAAGUCUAGACACAAGGAGUUGGUGAGAUACAGAAAGCAUGGCAUUACUAAGUUUUCUGAAUUAGAUGAUUUUGAAAAGUCUCGAUUAUUAAUGGAGAAAAAAAAGGAGACAAGAAAAGCUGUGAGGUGGAAUGACCAUCGGCAUGUCCUUGGCAAGGCGAAGCACUUCAACCACAUCAACAACCAUGUCCUUAAAAAAGUCUGCAGCAGCAGCAGAAGAAAGCGGCGAACAAAAGUCGUCCUUGUUCGCAAAAGGCGGCGGCGGCAGUAACAACAUGGGUCCGCUGGAGAUCACCAGCCAGCAUGGAAACGACCUGCUGUCUGAGAGGGAGCAAAAGCUAUGCACUGCCAUGAACCUGAAGCCUGCUCACUAUGUAACCAUCAAGACCUGUCUCAUUAAGGAAAGCCUACGUAAGAAGCAUGGAGGUUCACUCAGAACCCACAGUAUUGAGGGCCUGAGUAGAAGCAACAAAAACAGACUCCUUAGCUUCUUUGCAGAGAGUGGCUGGAUAUCUGCAUGCUAAACAGUGCUGCCACCUGCAAGGAAUACCAAGAUGUUUUCGAAUACGUUUUCCAUAGUCUAUUGAGGAAGAAUAUAUUUAUUACCUCUCAAAUCAAAUUACUUGUAGUCCAUCACCACAUGUCAUGCUGUUUUAUUGGAAAGUUUGCUGGCUUCGCAGCAGUCGAAUCUAAACACUUCCACUGCCCUAGAACCACAACUUUAUUCACCACACACCCUCAAAGUUGAACUAUUGUCAGUCAUGCGUUGUCUCAGGCUUUAGGAUAAUCUGUUUUCUUAUACAUGUACGAAGUAUCAGCCUCUUCUAAAAUGGUUGUUAUCAAAUUGACCAGUGUAUGUCACACCACUUCAGAUACUGCAUGUUAUGUUAUGUAGCAAAAGUCAUUGGCCUCGUCUUGUGCAUUACUUGGCAUUUCUGCUUUUUGUGGAGGAAGCAUGGACAUUCCAGCUGCUACGGUGAAUAGCGCCACUCCCAUAUUAUGUCCACAUUCCAGAUGAAUAGCUGAGCAAUGAGUAGGUGCACUGUGAGAGCGCUCUAAGAAAAGUGUGGAUGAUUUCCAUUGGCUUCGCUCUGUUAUAACCGUGGGGUAAAGCAAUAAAUAUCAGUGCUUUAAACAGCAGAUCAGCAAUACUGUUUGCCACGAUGAUAAACUGUUAUGAAGCCAGCCAGCAGCAGCUGUAGCACCUGCACUUGUGAGUGCUUUCACAGGCACAGCUGCAUAAGCGCUAUGUGUACGGAUCGGGUGCCACCUCUGCGAUGAGCCCAUUGGAAGAAUGUGCAGUCUGGAAUUGGGCGGCAUAGCAGAACUAUGGUGGCAUCAGCAGAGGCCCAAGGUGGUGCACUGAUACAGAUGAUCGGUGUUUGUACAUCGUUAGUAUUGUGUCGAGUUACACUGCUCAUUCUCAAUCGCAAGUACAAGCGGUAACCCUUUGCGCACCCACCGAGGCAGGCGCUCAUGUUUAGGCAGGAAGUUUCUGUGCUUAGACUGUGCAUGUGAGAUGCGUGAUGCGCAGCGUUAGGGCGCCGGCUACGCGCGCAAUACAGGGAAGCAGUGCAUGGGUGGUCUUCAUUGCGCAUCGAGUCAUCGUGGCCGUAUGUUUAAAGUACAGCACUCGGUGGGCACGGUCGGCUGUUGAAAGCCAGCCACCUUUUCGUUGACAGUGACGUUGGCGUGACAAAAUGUAAAUCCACUCUUACAUGCGUUAUGUGACUUGAGCAGUGGAGAACUUAUGGACACACCUCGUCGCUGGCUGAGCAUUGAAACCCUCCUGCCUGAGUAGAUUUUGGUGUAUCCAUUCGCUCUCCCUCUGAUGCAGCGAGUUAUUGAAACUAAUAUACGCCCCCACCUUUGCUAGAAUUUCAUCUUGGUAUGAACGGGCUACCAUAUGCUUGGCGAGACACGCGUUUGCUACAGCAAACCAUUUUUGCUUGGGUGGGUGGGGGGUGGGUGGGUGCGGCGGUUGAGUUUUAACGGGCGUGUCUGGGGUGUAUCAGGGCCAUCUAGUUACUUGAAAGCCACUGUUAUAAGGAGGCGGUGGUUCCUGGACCCACUUGUACUGUGCACCGAAAUGUUGUUCCUAAUGGUUUUACUGCUGUUGGGAAAUUUCUUUCAUUUUCCUUUACGUAGGUUUGUGUCUGUUUUACCGUGAUGGGUUUCGAUGAGGUUGUUUUCAUUUAUUCAGUUGUUCAUUCGAGUCAGUGCUUAGCGGCGGUUGUUGCAUGCUCUCGUAUUGCUUUUUUUAUUUGAUAAAGAAGCACGUUUGAAAAACAGGAAAGUGCAGAUAUCAUAAACGAAUGGUUUAUUUCUCCCUGUAAAGCGCUCAAAUUGCCCUGCAGUGCAUAAGAAACUCCUGUGUUUUAUGCCAUGUUCAAAGAUACCAGUUUAGUUUCAGUUAGUUUCAGUGACGUUCUAAACGCCUAUUAUUAGAUUCCGUGCCAUCCGUAUGAUGUCAUAAACAUGCCUCAUUUGAGCAUGGGUUUCAUAUUUCGCGUUUCUCUUUUAUUGCGCAUAUGCCCACUUUGUAAUAGUAGACUUGUUUUGUGAAAUUUAAUCCAACUAAUGUUUGUUGGGUGUUCAAGGGUUCCAGCAACUUGCCAAAAAUAUCCUGGUCGGUCGGUAUACAGAGGUUCUUUAGUAGAUCCAUAUAGAUUAUUAAUUUUUUAAGCAAGUAGUAAUUGGCUGAUCGGUGUCCCAGUUCUGCAACAUAUUGGUUUUUCGCACAUAAUCGCACUGCCUAUGGUGAGUGAUCAUCCAUGUAUAUAAAAGCUGUAAACUAAAAUAUUUAUUGUGUAUAUAUUUCGUAAAGAAGACAUCAAAUUAUACGUGGCACGGCGCAUUUUCUACAUCAUCUCCACUGUUUGUAAUGAAACUGCAAAAUGUAUUUUUGUAAACGAUCAGCUGGAUACGUGUAUAAUUUACAUGUGGUCAGCAUUAAUGUGUGUUGAGUUGUAGUAAUUUAGUAUGAAGUUUCCUUUUAAACUUAACACCGGAAAAUUUAGUUGAUACUUAGGAAGCCAUUUCACAUAGGUUCUCGUGAAUUGUCAUCUCAUAGGUCGUCUUAUCGUGCGAUUUUUAUGUGUUUGAGCAGGUGAUGCCUUCUUAUAUAAGCGUUGAUAUCACAACCGUGUUGUGAACGUGGCAGUACUGCUAAUUUUUAUCGUAGGAUAUCGGUGAACAUGGUGGCUAGUUCUCUGUUUUUGUAUAAUUUCAUGUUCAACAAGUGAUUUAAAUAUAUGUUUGUCCGUACAAAUCAUUUUUCGAUGUGUUCUACAUGGAAACAGUUCUUCCUGAAUUCUGGUGGAUUGCUGUCAGUUUUUUUGUUUUUACCGCACCAGUUCGUUGUAACAUCACUAGUUUAGUAGCCAUUCGGAUACUACGGUUUAUGUAGUGUCGUAGAGCCCCACCCGUGUGUCAUUGUGAUGUUAAACCUUGUUUGUGUGUAAUGCGCACGUAUUUUGAAUCACCCUGUUAGCCUUUCGUGCACUGUUUUUUAGUCGUUCUGCAUAGUCAUGUAUUUAUAUUAGCAUAGAACACGGGAAAGUAUCAGAGCAAUGUUUGUUGUCACACUCACAUAUAAGGUUUCUAUUUUCAACGGGCAACUAAAUAAUUGUAAUGGCGUGCAUAAAUGAUUUCCACUGUCUGUCUAUAUAUGUAUGCAAAUACAACUGUUUACAUAUGUACGUGUGCUUGUUUAUGGCAAAAUGUUUACAAUCUGUAAUAAUGCAGAGGUGGCAUUUCACACCCACCCUGUCACGCGUAGACGCAAAUCUUGCAUCUUAUAGGAUGUUGCCAAGAAUAUAUCAGACCAAUUUUCUCAUCUAUGUGCGAUGUCACACAUUCGCAGCACAUGCCAUGUCUUUUGCUGCUCUGUCAGCUACCGCAAGUUAGUUCGCGAAACGUGUUGGUUGCGUGUGUGAAAGAAAGAUUCAUUUAAUUUGUUGGAAAAUUUUGAAAACAAGAUGGGCAUAUUAUGGUUAUAACACUUCGCAUUUAUAAGUUGGUAUAUUUCUCAUCUCAGUGCCUAGGUUAAAAGCAUCAGACUUACUGUAUGAUAGGUCGCAGGUGAAAUUAGUGUGGUAUUGUGUUCUCUGAAUUACAUUUCAAGAAUGUAACGAAUGUUUCUUGGCGAGGUUUAUUUUCUAUCAAGUGUUAUAAUGUUAGGUCUGCAUGGCGUCUCAUAUAUUUAUGCAUCUUGCAGGGAUGCGUGCCACAGUGGCUGGUUUUAUGUAUAACCCAGGUACGAGCGCGCAUUGUGGCGUUAUUGUUGAUGCAUUGUCGGCAUGAGAUACCCAGUGUAAAUACGCAAUUCAUUUGUACCUAACAAUAAAACUAUUUAAAAAAUAA